CAGCCGCCGCGGUAAUACGUAGGGGGCGAGCGUUACCCGGAUUCACUGGGCGUAAAGGGGGUGUAGGCGGCUCGGUAAGUCGGGUGUGAAAUCCCACGGCUCAACCGUGGAAUUGCGCCCGAAACUGCCGAGCUUGGGGCCGGUAGAGGGAGACGGAACUGCCGGUGUAGGGGUGAAAUCCGUAGAUAUCGGCAGGGACGCCGGUGGGGAAGCCGGUCUCCUGGGCCGCGCCCGACGCUGAGGCCCGAAAGCUAGGGGAGCAAACCGGAUUAGAUACCCGGGUAGUCCUAGCCGUAAACGAUGCCCACUAGGUGUGGGGGAGUAUUUCCUCCGUGCUGUAGCUAACGCGUUAAGUGGGCCGCCUGGGGAGUACGCCCGCAAGGGUGAAACUUAAAGGAAUUGGCGGG
rnacentral:rRNA from 1 species